rnacentral:rRNA from 1 species
AGCCCCACCACAACCUAAUGAAUCACAAAAACUAACUCAACUAACCAAAACAUUUUUAUAUUUUAGUAAAGGCGAUCAAAAAAAUUCUAUGGAGCUAUAAUGAUAGUACCGCAAGGGAAAAGUGAAAUAAUAAUGAAAUAAUUUUAAGCACUCUAAAGUAGAGAUUUAACCUCGUACCUUUUGCAUCAUGGUUUAACUAGUCAAAUCAAGCAAAACGACUUACAGUCUGACCUCCCGAAACUAAGCGAGCUACUUCAGGGCAGCUUAUUGAGCAAACCCGUCUCUGUUGCAAAAGAGUGGGAAGACCCUCAAGUAGCGGUGAUAGACCUAACGAGCUUAGUGAUAGCUGGUUAUUCAAGAAAAGGAUUUUAGUCCAGCCUAAAGAACUAUUAAUAAUCUUAAUAUAACAACUACUUUAGAGUAAUUCAAAUAAGGUACAGCCUAUUUGAAACAGGAUACAACCUCAACCAAAGGGUAAUUAUUCGUUUUAACAACCAAGUAGGCCCAAAAGCAGCCAUCUUUAAAAUAGCGUCAAAGCUUAAUUGUUUAUACUAUUAAUCCCAAAAAUAAUUUAGAACCCUUCACCACUAUUGAAUAAUUCUAUAUAUUUAUAGAAUAUUUUAUGUUAAAACUAGUAACAAGAAGAAGACCUUCUCUUAAAUGUAAAUGUAAGUCAAAAAGGACUAACCAGUGACUAUUAACACCAAUGAACAAAAAUUAGCAACUCACAAGAAAACCCUACUUUUUAUUAUGUUAACCUAACACAAGAGCAUUUCAAGAAAGAUUAAAAGAAAAAGAAGGAACUCGGCAAAAAUUAACCUCGCCUGUUUACCAAAAACAUCGCCUCUUGAAUAUACUUAUAAGAGGUCCAGCCUGCCCAGUGACUCUGUUCAACGGCCGCGGUAUCCUAACCGUGCGAAGGUAGCGUAAUCACUUGUUCUUUAAAUAAGGACUAGUAUGAAUGGCACCACGAAGGUUACACUGUCUCCUUUCUCUAAUCAGUGAAACUAAUCUCCCCGUGAAGAAGCGGGGAUUUAAAUAUAAGACGAGAAGACCCUAUGGAGCUUUAAACUAAAUAACACUUGCUCUUAUAUUUUUAUAUUUGAGAAUACUAACACCUAUUUUAGCUUUAUGAUUUUUAGUUUUAGGUUGGGGUGACCGCGGAGCAAAACAAAACCUCCACAUUGAAUGGGGUUACAUACCCUGAGCAACGAGCUACAACUCUACGCACCAAUAAAUUGACAUAAAUUGACCCAAUAUUUUGAUCAACGAACCAAGUUACCCUAGGGAUAACAGCGCAAUCCGCUUCAAGAGCUCCUAUCGACAAGCGGGUUUACGACCUCGAUGUUGGAUCAGGGUAUCCCAGUGGUGUAGCCGCUACUAAAGGUUCGUUUGUUCAACGAUCAAAACCCUACGUGAUCUGAGUUCAGACCGGAGUAAUCCAGGUCAGUUUCUAUCUAUAAAGGGCUUUUUCUAGUACGAAAGGACCGAAAAAGCAUGGCCUAUGUUUUAUGCAAGCCAUACUCAAUAAUUUAUGAUUUAAACUUAAUAAAUAGCUGACCUAUAAUUAA